GUUGCCCAAGGGUGGGAUUGGAUCUGGGUUCCUGGCACUGUGAGGCAGCAGUGCUAACCACUGAGCCACUGUGCCGCCCCUCUGUAAUGUAGGAUUUCGGGUUCAGAAGUCACAGAUUACCCAGAAUUUUUUUUUAUUCAUCACAGGCUGUGGGUGUCACUGGCUGGACCAUAAUUUAUUGCUCAUCCCUGAUUUCCCAGAAGGCAGUUACCAGUCAACUGUUGUGGAUUUAGGAUUACAUGUAGGCCAGACCAGUUUCAGGAGGCCUUGGACAGGAUUAGUGAUGGGACAAGAACAUGGCAGAUGGAAUAUACUGUGGAAAAUUGUGAGCUUAUCCAAUUUGGUAAAAGAAACAGAUGUGCAGAGAAUUUUUUAAAUGAUUUUUGCCGAUUCACUCAGUCCUGUCUGUAUCUGUCUGCAACCUCCUUAAUUCUUCAUGUAUGGAACGAGCUGCCAGAGGAAACGGUUUAGGUGGGUACAAUAACAUUUAAAAUAUAUGGGUAUAUGGAU